GACAGGCCCAGCCCGGUGUGGCAUAGCAUGUGGGCCCAGAACUGCAGACUGGUGACUGAAAAAUCCCACGCAGAGAGACCCUUACUCAAGUCUUGGGAAAUCGCGGACCCCAGACACAGAGAGACCAUUUUGGAUGUAAUAAGCAAAGGUUAAUGUACUCUGCGCAUCUCUCAGUCACUGGAGCUAAUGCCACCGCUUCUCACCGGAUGCUUGCAGAGACAUUGGGCUGCAGAGCAGAGAGCUCCUUGGUGAACCAACCAACUAUAAACAAAGGUUUCUCUCCUGAGAGGACUCUGAUGAGCAUGAAGAUCUGACCCCAAACUGAAGCCCUUCCCACACAUCACAUUUGUAUGGUCUCUCUCCAGUAUGGACUCUCCGUUGGGCUUGAAGAUGUGAGGAGUGACUGUAGCCCUUCCCACAUUUCACACAUGAAUCGCUUCUCUCCAGUAUGGACACUCAGAAGUACUUGAAGGUUGGAAGCUUGACUGCAACCUGUCCCGUAUUCUUCACAUGUAUAGGGAUUCUCCCCCGUGUGAACAUCUGUACUUUGGAAAAGCCUUUCCUGCAUACCUCACAUGUAUAUGGUCUCUCUCCAGUGGGGACUCUUGGGUGGCAUGUUCAUGGUGAAUUAUGGCUGAAGCCCUUGCCACACACAUCACACUUGUGGGGUUUCUCCCCAGUGUGGAUCCUCUGAGGUAUGUGAACAUGCGUGGCCUGACUGAAGCCCUUACCACAUUCUUCACAUUUAUGGAGGACUUUACUCCUGUGGACCCUCGGAUGGACCCAGUGUACGCGCCCUCUGGUAGCACUGGAAAUUUGAGCUCUGACUAAAGCGUUUGCCACACUCUUCACAUCUAUCUAUAAAGUUUCUCUCUGGUGUGAGUCCUGUUGUCACAGGCAAUGGCUCUUCCCACAACUGUCACGGCUGUAGGACUUGCCCUCUGUGUCACUGGUCUGAUAGUCAAAGGGACUCUUGUUGAAGUGGUCACUGGAUUGGUCUCACUUCUCCAGUUCCUCCCCUGGAUGUGAAAGCUGACUAAAGCAGCCCUCUGCUGGGUAGGCGGUGUGGUGAAUGGGAAACCCUGAGCCACAGGCUGUGCAGCUGCAGUCUCUGUCCUCCAGGCAAUCCCUGGCCAACAGCGCCAUUGAUGCACCUGUCACAUUCAUCACGCCGGUGGGGUUUCUGCUCUUUGUAAGUUUUAACGAUGCUUUCCUCGUUGAACCUACAAACGCACACAGGUCAUGUUUCUCAUCGGCUGGCUUGUUUUCUGCUCUGGAUGUGUGACUCUUACAGGCGCCUAUUUUGACAAUAAUUCUGAGAUUAAAAAGUCUUCGUGUUCGAUGUGGCUGGAGCUGUCUCCUUUGUGAUUCUUUGCAUUGCUCCCAUUUUCAGAAACCCAGAUGCAAUCAUCUUGCAGCAGUUGAAAACCCUUCCUUGGAAGAUACCUGGUCUAUUCCCAGGCAGACUGUCUCCAGAUUUGCCAGCAAGACAGCUCCUCCUGGGAAAGGUACCUU
ensembl:lncRNA